rnacentral:rRNA from 1 species
UACGUAGGGUGCAAGCGUUAAUCGGAAUUACUGGGCGUAAAGCGUGCGCAGGCGGUUUUGUAAGUCUGUCGUGAAAUCCCCGGGCUCAACCUGGGAAUGGCGAUGGAGACUGCAAGGCUAGAAUCUGGCAGAGGGGGGGUAGAAUUCCACGUGUAGCAGUGAAAUGCGUAGAUAUGUGGAGGAACACCGAUGGCGAAGGCAGCCCCCCUGGGCUAAGAUUGACGCUCAUGCACGAAAGCGUGGGGGAGCAAACAGG